rnacentral:lncRNA from 1 species
AGUGGAGACCGGAGAAGAUAGUGUUUCUUAAAUAGAAGAAUAGAGAGGGAUGGGUUCCUUCAAAAGAGCUCAAACCCAAGACUUUAUCCCAAUCUUUCAAGCAGUUAAAGCUUUGGGAAGGGGGGUUCCUUUCAAGGGAAGGGGGUUGGGGUUGAGGGGGUGGGGUGUGUGUUUACACACAUUUAUAGACCUUUUUCCAAAUUUUUGCAUUGUGAAACUUGUCCAUGAGAUUCAUAGGAGUUGGUGUGGUGCUCCCAAGCCUUGGGAGGCCCCAGAGGAGGAGCCAUGGGCUUGGC